rnacentral:rRNA from 1 species
GAUGAACGCUGGCGGCGUGCUUAACACAUGCAAGUCGAACGGAAAGGCCACAGCUUGCUGUGGUACUCGAGUGGCGAAAGGGUGAGUAACACGUGGGUGAUCUGCCCUGUACUUCGGGAUAAGCUUGGGAAACUGGGUCUAAUACCGGAUAGGAAUCACAUGUGGGUGUGUGGUUGGAAAGCUUUUGCGGUAUGGGAUGAGCUCGCGGCCUAUCAGCUUGUUGGGGGGGGAAUGGCCUACCAAGGCGUCGACGGGUAGCCGGCCUGAGAGGGUGUACGGCCACAUUGGGACUGAGAUACGGCCCAGACUCCUACGGGAGGCAGCAGUGGGGAAUAUUGCACAAUGGGCGCAAGCCUGAUGCAGCGACGCCGCGUGGGGGAUGACGGCCUUCGGGUUGUAAACUCCUUUCGUCAGGGACGAAGCGAAAGUGACGGUACCUGGAGAAGAAGCACCGGCUAACUACGUG